rnacentral:rRNA from 1 species
AUGAAUGAGGAAACUGUACAAUGGCGGUUUACGGGUUUUUAUGGUCAUCCGAAUUGGAGUGACCGUAUUUUGUCUUGGGAUGAUAUUCGCAAUUUACAUAAUAAGGGCGAUCACCCUUGGGUUAUUUUGGGGGAUUUCAAUGAAAUUUUACUCUCCUUUGAGAAAGAGGGUGGUAACGCGAGACCAAAUGCAAUGAUGAGAGAUUUCCGUAAUUGUUUGGGAGAAUGUGGGCUGGCAGAUAUGGGUUAUAUUGGUGAUCUCUUCACCUAGAGGAGAGGCAAAGUUAGGGAGAGACUUGAUCGGGCAGUUUGUAAUGUGGAUUGGGCAAAUAAAUUUCCUCGUGCUGCAGUCAUAAACGAAGAGCAUGUGCACUCUGACCAUCGCCCACUAGUUUUGGACACAGAAUAUUAUGAUGGGAAUAUAUUCAAUCAAUCACAGGGUCGAACGAAACAAUUCGAAGCCAGAUGGCUAAAAGAAGAGACAGUGGGAGAAAUUGUACGUACAGCCUGGGAUAAAGCAAAUAUUUUGGGUAUUGGACCAAAUCUUGCUCAACGUACAAGGGCGGUGAAGGCGGAUUUGCAUAUUUGGGAUCGUGACACUCUUAAAGGACCAAGACGAAGAAUUAAUAAACUUAAAAAAGAGUUGGAAAAACUUCGAAGGUGUCCUAUUAAUGUGGAUACACAAGCGCGACAAAAGGAAAUCCUUGUCCUUAUUGGAACAAGAGAAGAUCUAUUGGCUACAGCGUGGGCGUGCAAAUUGGUUGAUGCAUUGUGA